rnacentral:lncRNA from 1 species
GUAGCUUGUUUACCUUCAUGGGAUCAGAAAUUGGUUGACCUUGAUUUUCAAGACCAUUCACGAUUUCUGUAAAACGACUAAACAUAUCAGUUAUAGAUUCUCCUGAUUUCAUUUUGAAGGCUUCAUAUUGACUGAGGAGAAUGUUGAUUCUAGUCUCUUUCACUCGAUCGGUUCCUUCAUAGGUAAUAUGUAAUCUAUCUCAGACUUCUUUAG